CACGCCCUGAGCCGAAGGCAGACGCUUAACCGCUGUGCCACCCAGGCGCCCCCAGGUUGGAUCUUUAAAAACAGCUUAACAUGGAUAGAAAGGUGUGUGAAAAGCACUCCCCUAAUGUUAAUGGUAACUAUCUUAGGAUGCUGGGGGAUGGGGGGGGGAGGUUCACAUAACUCUUGCUUUCUUUUUUGUUCUUUUAUAUACUGUUUACGUUUUCUACAAUACACAAUAAUGACUAUAUAAUUGGAAGAAAAAAUUAGGGAUUUUUCCUGAGGACAAUGUACAGCAACAUAGAAUGUUAACCAAAGAAGGUGGCCUGCAAACUUGUAGGCAGAAAAUAAGUACUACAAUUAUAUCAGUCUGUCCUUACCUUGGCCUCAUAAAGGAGGUGCUGCUAUGUACCCAUUCUACAGAUGAAGACCCUGGGUCUCAGAGUUAGUAAGUACUGAACCAUUGUAUUUAGUCUCCGCUAAAGAGAACAUUCCCUUAUCCUCCCCAUCCCUUUGGUCCUUCCUUGAGUCUAAAUUACAAGGCAUACAAGAAGCACACGUUUCUGUUUUCCCUUAGACUAGUCAACGUUCAAGUCUUUAAACUCCAAGCCCAGGUUAUGGAGGAACAGAAGUAAGCUCUCUUUUUUCCUUUAUUUCUCCACCCAUGCACUCCUUCUGAGUGGAAAAUCUGAGAGUUCCAUGGUGUUAACGACUCCACCCUGAGCAUGAAGAGAGAAGUGCACACAUGAUCCUAAUUCUACUCUUGUGAGAAAACCUAAAGGAAGCCUUGUUCUCUCAAGCUCACAGAAGAAUGUGGAUAUUUUUCACAGGCGGGUUCAAAGCUAUGAUUCAGGUUAUCCUGGUUCAGCCCCAUUGAAAACUCUUGAGAAUUCUCGAACACAAGCUACAGGAAAUGGGACUGGAGCACACCUCAGCCAGGACCACCUGUUGUCUGAAAUCUCAGCCUGUGCCCAGCGCCUGGCCACAUGCGUUAUAGGCAUCAUCUCGGGACAAACCUGAGCGGUGAGCAUUCUCAUCUCCAUUUGCCAGGUCCACCUACUUCGCUGUGAGGUGGGUAAACUGAGGCUCAGAAAGAGAAGAUAUAUUUCCCAGGGCCACACAGUCGUGGAGCAGUGGAGCCAAGGCCCCAGCUCUCCAGGAGCAGCCUUCUGAUGAUGGGUGGACGUUGAAGAGGAAGGCCCCAGCUUCUUCACCCCUCACGGAGCACAACUCAAAAGUACGUUCUGUCUCCCAGAGCUCCCUGUAGGACUGGGCUCCCACUUGACCUUUGGGGAAGCUGUUCCAUAAUGCAAUGUAUCAGUUAUCCAUUGCUGCAUAAUAAAUGAUCCCCAAACUC